rnacentral:rRNA from 1 species
UACAGAGACUGCAAGCGUUAUUCGGAUUCACUGGGCGUAAAGGGUGCGCAGGCGGCCGUGUGUGUCAGGUGUGAAAGCCCGAGGCUUAACCUCGGAAUUGCGCCUGAAACUACAUGGCUAGAGUACUGGAGAGGGUAGCGGAAUUCAUGGUGUAGCAGUGAAAUGCGCAGAUAUCAGGAAGAACACCCGUGGCGAAGGCGGCUCUCUGGGACGGUACUGACGCUGAGACGCGAAAGCGUGGGGAGCGAACAGG